rnacentral:rRNA from 1 species
ACAGGGAUUGCCUUAGUAACGGCGAGUGAAGCGGCAACAGCUCAAAUUUGAAAUCUGGCGUCUUUGGCGUCCGAGUUGUAAUUUGCAGAGGGCGCUUUGGCAUUGGCAGCGGUCCAAGUUCCUUGGAACAGGACGUCACAGAGGGUGAGAAUCCCGUACGUGGUCGCUAGCCUUUACCGUGUAAAGCCCCUUCGACGAGUCGAGUUGUUUGGGAAUGCAGCUCUAAAUGGGAGGUAAAUUUCUUCUAAAGCUAAAUACUGGCCAGAGACCGAUAGCGCACAAGUAGAGUGAUCGAAAGAUGAAAAGCACUUUGGAAAGAGAGUUAAAAAGCACGUGAAAUUGUUGAAAGGGAAGCGCUUGCAGCCAGACUUGCCUGUAGUUGCUCAUCCGGGUUUUUACCCGGUGCACUCUUCUACGGGCAGGCCAGCAUCAGUUUGGGCGGUUGGAUAAAGGUCUCUGUCAUGUACCUCCUCUCGGGGAGAACUUAUAGGGGAGACGACAUGCAACCAGCCUGGACUGAGGUCCGCGCAUCUGCUAGGAUGCUGGCGUAAUGGCUGUAAGCGGCCCGUCUUGAAACACGGACCAAGGAGUCUAACAUCUAUGCGAGUGUUUGGGUGUCAAGCCCGAGCGCGUAAUGAAAGUGAACGGAGGUGGGAACCUUUCGGGGUGCACCAUCGACCGAUCCUGAUGUCUUCGGAUGGAUUUGAGUAAGAGCAUAGCUGUUGGGACCCGAAAGAUGGUGAACUAUGCUUGAAUAGGGUGAAGCCAGAGGAAACUCUGGUGGAGGCUCGCAGCGGUUCUGACGUGCAAAUCGAUCGUCAAAUUUGGGCAUAGGGGCGAAAGACUAAUCG